GACGAACGCUGGCGGCGCGCUUAGCACAUGCAAGUCGAACGGAAAGGCCUGCUUUCCCUUGUGGAUUGCGGGUACUCGAGUGGCGAACGGGUGAGUAACACGUGAGUGAUCUGCCCCCAACUUGGGUAUAAGCCUGGGAAACUGGGUCUAAUUCCCGAUAGGACUGCAGGGUGGUGCCUGUGGUGGAAAACGAUUUUCUAGUGGUUGGGGAUGAGCUCGCGGCCUAUCAGCUUGUUGGUGGGGUAAUGGCCUACCAAGGCGGCGACGGGUAGCCGGCCUGAGAGGGUGGACGGCCACAUUGGGACUGAGAUACGGCCCAGACUCCUACGGGAGGCAGCAGUGGGGAAUAUUGCACAAUGGGCGGAAGCCUGAUGCAGCGACGCCGCGUGGGGGAUGACGGCCUUCGGGUUGUAAACUCCUUUCGACCGCGAGGAAGCCACCUGGUUGGAAGGGUGGUGACGGUAGUGGUAGAAGAAGCACCGGCUAACUACGUG
rnacentral:rRNA from 1 species